GCAUAUUUGGAAUCCCCAGAACGUUGGCUUCAAGAAGCACCUAUCAUCUUCGCAUAUAGAGGCUUAAUAGAACGAGGUCUCAAGAUGAUAAUCCGCCCCAAUGAUGUUGUUGUACUGGAUUUAUUGAUGUCAUCAAAUCCCCAACGUUCAUUUGCUUUGGUAAGACCAGUUAACUGCAAUUAGUAUAUGAACACUUUUACAUUACCACAUUCAAUAUUUGUACAAUAGUUACAGUGCUGGGCAAGAUUUUUCCAGGUAUGAAGGAUUAAGGAAAGUUAACAUUUAUUGUUUCUUCUACUCCGGUCCCCUUCUUAAUAUACUGUAAUGUGAGUUCAGUUGGCAUCGCUGCUGCAACGUAGUGUGGUUGAAGAACAACCUUUGUUUUCUGGCGUUAAUGCAAAAGUGGCAUUGUUUAAA